CUGCGUCUUCUGGCUCAACAUCGCGGCGGCCCUCAUCCAGACCCUCACGGCCAUCGUCAUGGUGGGCUGGAUCAUGAGCAUCUUCUGGGGCAUGGACAUGGUCAUCCUCGCCAGCUACAAGGAGCAGGGCAUCCCACAGCAGCUGUGAGCCCGAAGGAGCCGCCAAGAACUCCGGGGUGGUCCGUGAGGGCCGCACCAGGCAGCGGCGGACACAAGGACCCUUACGUCUUCUCUUCUGCCGUGUCCCGGGUUUGGAGCGCCAAGUGGGGGCGAUUUAGAAAGAUAUUUAUUUCGAAGACACAUCUGCUUUUUUUGGCAGGCUGUGAGGCUGCCCACCCCUCCCCCUGCUCCAGAAAGACGCGGGAGCCCCGAGCAUCUCAAGCGGGGUAGGGAGUGGGGUCAGGAUUGCUGACGGCGAAGCUGGCAUCCUGGGCUCACCCCUGCCUCGCACGGCUCCCUGGGUCCCCCCAAGCGUCUCCUGGCCCUGCCUCUCCUUUCUGCAGCCCACGCUUUGCCCACUCCCUUCCUCAUGGCUCAAAUCUCUGGGCCCGCUUGUGUUUCGAUCUUUGCUUCCCUGGAAGGAGGCCAGUGACCCCCACCCCCCCCAGACCAGAAUCCCCAACGAAGGCCAGAAGCUUUCUCGUUACACUUAACUCCGCUUCCGGCCCGCGGCCCUCCGGAAAUCCUCGGGGCUGGACGGGUCUCGGAAUUCCAAAAACCCGGAUCCGAGAAAGAACGAGAGACGUUUACCGCCCGUUUCCUGCUGCCCAGUCGGGACCAGCUCCCCGCCGUCAAGCACAGGACCGUUUCUGCGGAGAGACGUGUGAACGGUCGGGCCGAUUGGGAUCAAUAAAAACGCCAAAUAGCGUCACCUUGUUGGUUCAGGUCAGAUUUGGGCCUCAGGAAGCGACGGAAGGAAACCCAGCAUUCGAGAGCGUUCGGGGAUAUAGAGCGGCAAAAAAAGAAAACUAGGAGUCGUGCCCUUCUCUCCGGAAGUCCCUCUUGCGCACGAGUCCCCGGGGACGUUGCUGUUGUGACGGGGGUUCCUCCCGCUGCAAAGGGACAGUCGGGGCCUUUGCGGCACCUGCGUAAAAGAUUGUGAGUUGGAUCCUGGAGGGGGAGGGGGGCAGGAGCUCACGGAAGUUGUUCGGGCCACUGCGGGUCGAGUGUUGAUCUGAGGUUAAGAGAAAGGAGAUCCAAGGUCAUGUGACAGGUGGACAUCUGCACGCCCGUUUUCGUCUCGCGGGAAUUGCUAAACCGUGGGUCUGGCUCCAAGCUGUUUGCGGGCCUGGGGCUCCCCGUGGAGAAGUGGAACCCCCCCCCCCCCGGCCGCAGCCCCUACCCACCACCCCCAGCGCCGAGUCGGAGGCGGCCCGAUCCGGCCCCUCUGCCAGCCGCUUGGCUUUGACCACCGCCCGGUCCUCUCCCGUGGCCGCCCGGGGCCGGCCUGCACUUCCUAAACCCCUGGCUGUGUCCGUCUUCCUGUCCUUUCCCCCCUGACCCAGCCAGGCCUCUCUGCUGCUGCUUCCGUGUUUGCGAUCCUGUGCGUUUUCAACGCGUGGGACCAGGCUUGGUUUUCUGCAGAAAGGCAGAACCUGCCGGUGGGUGAAGACGGCGUCGUCUGGGCCAGGAAGAGACCAGGAGGCUGCUGGGAGCAGAGGAUCUUGCCUUCCGGCCGCGGAGGGGCAGAGAGGAAAGAGCAGUCUCCGUGGCACGUUUAGUGGCAGUCCAGACACAGGCGGGGUUUUCCUGGGUGACAAGUGUCACCCUGAGCCCGGUGGGGGCGGCCUACUACAGGGCUCGGUGGGCUCGGAAGGCCCAUUCCCCUGGGCACCCCCGCCUCCGAGGCUCCCCUCCGCUGCCACCUGCUUCGGAACCGGAGAGUCCGUGAGGAUCGCCUCACCGGGGAGCAGCCCACUGUGGCCUGAGUGUCACCGUCCUCAGGUGACGGCCAGUGGCCAGUGGCCUCCAAGGAGUCUGAGGUGGCCGCUCGGGCUGUUGGAAGUUCAGCCGAUUCGUUAAACGGCAGCCAGCUGCAAAGUAGGGUUCCCGUGAGCAAGUGACGCAGCACACGGGCGAUGGCCCCGAGGUCCCGGGCUCACCCCAGGUGCGGCCUCUCGGUGCUCACGCUUCUGCAGGAUGCCCCCCAGCCGCGGGUGUCUGGGGCAGGGACCUCAGGCACACAGAGAAGGCCGCAGCACACGGGAUACACCCAGGACCCUGCGGUGGCCCUCGGACCGGAGCGGCAGUUCCUGAGGCAAGAAGGAGCCACCGGGACCCGGGGGCGUCCCGUGCAUGGUGGAGACUGUUCAGUUCCGAGUCCGCGGUAAAGUCCAGGACCUCCGGCCGGGAGGCCCAAGCCCCGUGGGAGCGGCGGGGGAUGGGGGACGUCGGGCCCCGGUCCCUGCACCUUUCUGGCCGCUGUGGGGCGGGGGCCACAGUGGGGCCGACACGCUCCAGCUGCCCCUCUGCCCCGGCUUCAGAAGCGGCAGGCCUGGCCUUGGAGCCCGUCCCCGGCUGCACUUGAGGGGGCGUAAAGAAGGGACCAGGAGCAAGAUGCCUUCCCUGUGUGGCCCCAGAGCCGUGUGUCAGCCCCGACGACGGGGGAGCUGCCCGGUCCUAACACGGAGGACCAGGCCCCCCGCUGUCCCCGCCUGGGGGCUCCGGGCGCUCUGACCACCACUCCCAGAGGCAGGGCCGUGACUUCAGCUUCAUGCGGACGCCCCGAGGGCCGAGGAGCAGUGGGCAGGACACGUAGAGACAGUGGCAGAAGCCACACGGUCACCAUUCGCCCGGGAAGAACAGGGACCCGGGCGUCAGAAGGAAAAUCCCAACACUGAGCCCUGAGGCCAGCGCAAGGCGGGGGCUGAGUCCCCAGGAGGAGAGAAGGCCUUCUGGAGGCCUGGGGCUCUCCAGGGGGAAGGCUGUCCCUUUCGCCACAGCUCAGCUCUUAAAAAUGCAAAAGUAAGUCUCAGAUGCUUUCUUCCCGAACCCCCAUCCCUGCACAGAGGGGUGAGUUUGCGAGGGUUACUUUGGUUUUGCCUGGAUCCUGCGCCCCGGGCCCCUCCGGCUGCCACGACACUCGCUGUUUUCACCCCGUUGGUGGCAUUGGCAGAGAAAGCCCAGGUGUGUCGCGUCAACCGCUUAGGGACCCGGAACUUAGACCCAAGCCCCCCAGGUGGUGGCCGCAGACCUUGUUCAGCAUGUUUAUUACUCCCGCUUGCUGGUUGGUUUGGAGGGCUUUCCUCAGAGGGACCUUAGGUGGGUCCCAGAUGCACUGUGACCCUCCCUGGAGACCGUGACUUUGCACGUGCGGGAGCCGUCCGGAGCCACUGCUGACCGCGAACCUGCCCCGGGGCUGAGCAGAGACGGGCUUCCUUCUUCUCAGCGGUCCCCCCUGUGCUGGCGGCAGGUGGUUCUCGAAGGUGGGGCUGCCUGCCCUGCAUUUGUAUCCAGAGAGCACUCCGUGGACGCUGGUGUGGACUGACGGGGGUCUCCCGGUGCCCUGGCCGCCACGCCCUGCCCUUCCCGCCCUCGGGGGGAACAGCAAAGUGAGUGGAGGCAGGAGGGGCGCCUCUCCCCGCGGAGGGCGCCGUGUGUGUGUCGGGAUGGUGAGGCCAGGCAGUGGGAAGGGAGGCCGGGAGCGGCCUGAGCAGGUGGGCGAUGUUCGGGCUCCCGCGUUCUUCACCCGCCGGGCUCUUAGGGCUUCAGAACGCUCACGGGGUCGCGGGCGUGCAAGCCACGUGGGACCCUCCCCGUGGUGAUGCGUGGGGCACCUCGGGGGUGACUUCCAGCUUCCGUGCCGUUCGUCUCUCCUCCCGGCUCGUGCCUCCGUUUGACAAGGGGGGGCUGGGCAGCCAACGCCGGUCGGUCCCUUUUCUCUCCGAGCCAAGGGCCUGGAGGACGACGAGCCCAACCCCGGGCGACCCUCGAUUCCACGGCCCCGUCCCGAUCCUGUCACAGCGGGAGGCAGAGGACAGGGUCGCACGAGUACGGGUCCUGUUUCCAGUACAGCUUGUCUCUCUCCUCGGCUUUGGUCCCCGGCCCCUCCCUUCCUGCCUGGAUUUGCCAAAAUGCCAGCCACCCGCAGUCCGUCCCGGGCCACCGUCACCGUAGGUGAGGCGCACAGACAGGUGCACGCUGUCACACACGCGUGCAGCACCGCACGCACACACACGUGUGCUCACAGCCCCUUUGGCGGCUGGGUGAGGACGGGACUCUGGGGACUUAGGACUGGGUGUUUCAUGUCCGCAGAGGGGCCUCUCACACCCCCCGGGAGCCGUCCCUCCAGAGUGGCUCUGGCGGGCACAGUCCCCUUUACCAUCUGCAGGGCCCUGGGCCUGGAGCUCUUCCUCCUGGGGACCCUUGGCUCAACACCCCCACCCACCAAACCCAGCUGUGCUCGUCCGCCACGCCUGGCUUGUGGGAGGGACAGCGUGGGUCUGCCCAGAGCGGCGGGGACCGUGAUCCCUUUCUGGGCCCUUCUGGGGCUAGACGGUCCUCUCCUCUGAGGCUCCUUUUCCCACAACCCUCCCACCGGCCCCAGGAUGGGAAGCAGCGGGGAGAGAAGGGGACGGAGGUCAGGCCCACCCCGCCUUCUGGGUCAGCGCCUGGCUGGGCGUCCCCACCGGGGAGCAGGCGAUGGUGGCCGUAACUGGCCGGGCACCCCGUGGGAGCACUUGGCUGGCCCUCUGCACAGGCCGAGUGAUAGGCCUGUCGUAGCUGGUGCCAAACUUUUUUAAACAACAUACAUAAACACAAGCCUGGGUGUGUGCAUAUUAGCCGAAUUUAUAUUUGGACGAGUGUUGUGUUGAGACUUGGAGUUUUUGACCCGUGAUUGACUGUUUGGGUCUCUCUUCCUUCUGUUAAGCAAAUCCCUGUACGUUUCCGUGGUUCUCUGGCAAGACCCGCUGCCCGGUCUCCCAGGGCUCGCUCUUUCUACUCCUGCCUAGACCCACAGCGGCUUCACCCCACCCGCGGCCACUUCCCUUGGGGUCCUACGAGCCUGCCAAGGCGGUUUUCCGGCGCAUUCCGUGGACGGGAGCCUUCCUCGGUUCUAUGAGAGGGAGAAAGUCUCAGGUUGGGGACCUGGGGAAGCUUCCAGACUUGCAGCCUGGGGCCCAGGCCUGCAGCUUUGCCUUCCCAGUGUUCUCAGGACGGAGCCCUCGGCAGGCCCGCCCGCCACUGCCCGGGGCCCCUCUGCUGCCCGGGGCCCCGCGCCCCUCGAGGUGCCGAGCAGGGCCCCGACUUCCCCAGCGCCCCGCCAGCUUCAGAAGUCACAGCCCAAACGCCAUGCCGUAUACGUCAUGGCAGACAGCGUGCAUGACGCUAGGAACCUGUAUACAUAGCCCCGUGUACAUAUUUAUAUAUUCCUAUUAUAGAUACACAAAGCAUGGCAAUCCUUUGGCAUUCCAAAUCUGUGUUUUUUUAAAUCCUGAAAUACAACUUUAGACACCUUUUCUUCCUGUUUCUCUUUUCUAUGUAAUAAACGUUCAUGUGACCUUUCUGGUGGCUUCUCAA